CCUACGGGAGGCAGCAGUGAGGAAUAUUGGUCAAUGGACGAGAGGCUGAACCAGCCAAGUAGCGUGAAGGAUGACUGCCCUAUGGGUUGUAAACUUCUUUUAUAAAGGAAUAAAACGAGGCACGUGUGCCUUUUUGCAAGUACUUUAUGAAUAAGGAUCGGCUAACUCCGUGCCAGCAGCCGCGGUAAUACGGAGGAUCCGAGCGUUAUCCGGAUUUAUUGGGUUUAAAGGGAGCUGAGAUGGGUUGUUAAGUCAGUUGUGAAAGUUUGCGGCUCAACCGUAAAAUUGCAAUUGAUACUGGCAGUCUUUAGUACAGUUGAGGUAGGCGGAAUUCGUGGGGUAGCGGUGAAAUGCUUUGGUAUCACGGAGAACCCCGAUUGCGAAGGCAGCUUACUAAACUGUGACUGACAUUGAUGCUCGAAAGUGUGGGUAUCAAACAGGAUUAGGUGCCCCGAGUAGUC
rnacentral:rRNA from 1 species